AAAUCGUGAUUUGGAGACUUCUAUAAUUAUUCUUUAAAUCUCGCCCAAGCUUCAUAUAUCUACUCCCCCUGGCAUUGUUUGAACUCAUAAACCUUGUACGAAUUU